UACGUAGGGGGCAAGCGUUGUCCGGAUUUAUUGGGCGUAAAGAGCGUGUAGGCGGCUAGGUAGGUCCGUUGUGAAAACUCGAGGCUCAACCUCGAGACGUCGAUGGAAACCAUCUAGCUAGAGUCCGGAAGAGGAGAGUGGAAUUCCUGGUGUAGCGGUGAAAUGCGCAGAUAUCAGGAAGAACACCCGUGGCGAAGGCGGCUCUCUGGGCCGAUACUGACGCUGAGGAGCGAAAGCGUGGGGAGCAAACAGG
rnacentral:rRNA from 1 species